AUCGGUCUGAGGGCUGACGG
rnacentral:misc_RNA from 1 species